UUAUACACACAGGCUGCAGCAACAACUUGGACAACAUUAUAUUUUUUUAUAUAUAUAUAUAUAUAUAUAUAUAUAAUGUUGUCCAAGUUGUUGCUGCAGCCUGUGU
rnacentral:miRNA from 1 species